ACCAGGUGAGUCUACAUUCAGUCAAAUUGUCAAUGUUUACAUAAUCGUUAAAACUACGACAUGUACGAUAAAAAGACGACUGUUGUCGUAUCUAAAGAUAUAAGACAGUGAAAACAUGAAUGUGAUUUACGACAUAAUCGUUUAUCAUAUCGCUCAAUCAAACAGUUAUGAUAAUCGUAAUCUUACGAAGUGUCGUUUUCAGUUGUUUUUCCUCAUACUUCUGUUGAGAAGUUUGUAUGAACGGGAAAUUACGGUUUCUUACUUCGAAGCAAUAUACGAAACUUUACCCCUGUAUCACGUCUACAUUUCUUAACUUAUACAAUAUUCCAAAAAUACAAUACAAAACUUCGAGGAAAAGUUAAAUCUUAAACAUGAUAAAAAUCCCACAACAAAUCGCAAAAGCAACAGCUCAAACAUUACAAAAACAAAGAUACAACUGUCCUAUUCUUGCCUUGGUACAAUAUUUUUUUUUAUAUAAACUGGUUCUUUUUGCAGUAUAAUUGAUAAACAAUUUUAACAUGAAAACUGGUUGCAAAUUUAAAAAAUCAAAUUAGCACAUUGCAUCCCAUAAACAUCAAGUUGCUUGUAUAGCGGGACAUUCGUCAAAUUUAAAUUAAUUAAAUCAUACAU
rnacentral:lncRNA from 1 species